rnacentral:rRNA from 1 species
UACAGAGGGGGCAAGCGUUGUUCGGAAUUACUGGGCGUAAAGGGCGCGUAGGCGGCCCGCUAAGUCGAACGUGAAAUCCCCGGGCUCAACCCGGGAACUGCGUCCGAUACUGGUGGGCUCGAAUCCGGGAGAGGGAUGCGGAAUUCCAGGUGUAGCGGUGAAAUGCGUAGAUAUCUGGAGGAACACCGGUGGCGAAGGCGGCAUCCUGGACCGGUAUUGACGCUGAGGCGCGAAAGCCAGGGGAGCAAACGGGG